UGGAGUUCCCAUUGACAUGCAUUAUAAGACUGACAGACUGCAACGGUUGGAGUUAAAAAUCAUCAUUUGUGUUCUACUGAAGAAACAAAGUCACCUACAUCUUGAAUGCCCUGGGGGCUCACACCAUAUCUGAAAAAGUGAAGCAAAGAAGAAAAACAGAGAUUGAAAGGUACAGAGGAGGAAUUUGGAAGUCGAAGAGAAGAGGAGGCUACUCUCAGGUUAUGGAGAUACUGAUGUUGAGGU